rnacentral:rRNA from 1 species
CAGUAGCCGCGGUAAUACGUAGGGUGCAAGCGUUAAUCGGAAUUACUGGGCGUAAAGCGUGCGCAGGCGGUUAUAUAAGACAGAUGUGAAAUCCCCGGGCUCAACCUGGGAACUGCAUUUGUGACUGUAUAGCUAGAGUACGGCAGAGGGGGAUGGAAUUCCGCGUGUAGCAGUGAAAUGCGUAGAUAUGCGGAGGAACACCGAUGGCGAAGGCAAUCCCCUGGGCCUGUACUGACGCUUAUGCACGAAAGCGUGGGGAGCAAACAGGAUUAGAUACCCCUGUAGUCCCUGUCUCUUAUAC